GACGAACGCUGGCGGCGUGCCUAAUACAUGCAAGUCGAGCGGACGGAUGGGAGCUUGCUCCCAGACCGUCAGCGGCGGACGGGUGAGUAACACGUGGGCAACCUGCCUGUAAGACUGGGAUAACUCCGGGAAACCGGGGCUAAUAACGGAUAACUCUUUCCCUCACAUGAGGGAAAGCUGAAAGAUGGCAUCUCGCUAUCACUUACAGAUGGGCCCGCGGCGCAUUAGCUAGUUGGUGAGGUAACGGCUCACCAAGGCGACGAUGCGUAGCCGACCUGAGAGGGUGAUCGGCCACACUGGAACUGAGACACGGCCCAGACUCCUACGGGAGGCAGCAGUAGGGAAUCUUCCGCAAAGGACGAAAGUCUGACGGAGCAACGCCGCGUGAGUGAUGAAGGUUUUCGGAUCGUAAAACUCUGUUGUCAGGGAAGAACAAGUACCGGAGUAACUGCCGGUACCUUGACGGUACCUGACCAGAAAGCCACGGCUAACUACGUG
rnacentral:rRNA from 1 species